UUUUAUGGAGAGUUUGAUCCUGGCUCAGGAUGAACGCUGGCGGCGUGCCUAAUACAUGCAAGUCGAGCGAACGGACGAGAAGCUUGCUUCUCUGAUGUUAGCGGCGGACGGGUGAGUAACACGUGGAUAACCUACCUAUAAGACUGGGAUAACUUCGGGAAACCGGAGCUAAUACCGGAUAAUAUUUUGAACCGCAUGGUUCAAAAGUGAAAGACGGUCUUGCUGUCACUUAUAGAUGGAUCCGCGCUGCAUUAGGUAG
rnacentral:rRNA from 1 species